rnacentral:rRNA from 1 species
UACGAAGGGGGCUAGCGUUGCUCGGAAUUACUGGGCGUAAAGGGCUCGUAGGCGGCCAACUAAGUCAGACGUGAAAUCCCUCGGCUUAACCGGGGAACUGCAUCUGAUACUGGAUGGCUUGAGUUCGGGAGAGGGAUGCGGAAUUCCAGGUGUAGCGGUGAAAUGCGUAGAUAUCUGGAGGAACACCGGUGGCGAAGGCGGCAUCCUGGACCAACACUGACACUGAGGAGCGAAAGCCAGGGGAGCAAACGGG